UUUAGCCUACUUGCUCAAGCUUUUUUUCUUUAAACUGGAGAGAACAACUGCAACUUGGCUACUUUUCAAUUGUUUUUACAACCAAAUCUGACUUGAUAACCUUACUGAAAGUAACUUAAUAAAUGUUCAUUUAUUAAGUAAGGGAUAAUCAACGGCUAGCUGUGUAAAAAAAAUAAUAAUAUUUUUUGAGCAAGGUCUUUACCUGAAGUAAGACUUAAAAAUACACCAUGCGGCCUGUAUAAAUAAAUCUGAUGCUAUAAAGCACAUGUGACGCACAUAGUUUCAUGGUUGAAGUGUAAACCAGAUGCUCAAGAAGCUGAUGCCACAUGACACCAUGCCUCAUUCGAGAGUAGAAAUAAGCGAGGGAACAUCAGGCAUGACUAUAGGUCACUGAAGGGCAAGGCCAGAGCACGUGGGAGGAUUGGGAGCGUGCCAAGUUUCAGAGAACAUCCCACAGUUCAACAGAGAUGAGACGGUGGGAGGCAAAGGUGACGCCCACAUCUUAUGCAUGCAUCUUUUUUCAGUGCAUAACCUCAGUGGCCGUGUCUAAGAUAGUGACCAAACAGCUCAGUCUUUGUUUUGGCAACAGGAAUUCUCCCCUCACACUACACACCAGCUGCGUCACAUGUGCUUGCAGAAUCAUUGAUUUCAGAAGUGAUAGUGUACUAUGAUUGGCUGCUGGGUGGUUUCGCUUCCAUUCUUACAACUUUUGGUUUAGUUCUGGGCGAUAAGAGUUUCAGGUUUUUGUUUUGAUUUGAUGUUUGUUCUGAUGUCACUGCGUUGCCAGGAAGAGGGGUUUUUUCGGAUAAGAGAGGCAUCGAUGUGAUCACUCUCUCUGCGUGAUUAUAUGCCGUUUGGAGAGCUGCAGCUAUGCAAAUUCAGUGGUCAUUUCCAUAUCGACCGCAGUGCUGCGGCUGCCUCAUCUCAUUUGGUUCCUCUCACAUCAUUAGUGGAGCACACAAAAGAAUUUCUUACCAAAACUCUAAACUGGAAUUAACUUUCACUUAGAUGAAAACUGAAACCAAAAAUAAAGUUAUGAGUGUUGUUGAACUCUUUA